CCGGGAGGGAAGCAGGAAGUGACUUCGGGAGUGGAGCCGGCCGAGCCAGCGGCAGCGGGGCUGAUGGAAGUGGAGUGGGGGCUUGAGAGGGCACCGUACCGUAUCCAGCAUGCUCCAAGGCCAAAGCUCUGUGCUCCAGGCGCUGCUGGGGACUUUAUUCACAUGGGGGCUGACGGCAGCCGGGGCAGCUCUCGUGUUCGUAUUCUCUAGCGGACAGAGGCGGAUCUUGGAUGGAAGUCUUGGCUUUGCUGCAGGGGUAA